GACGAACGCUGGCGGCGUGCCUAAUACAUGCAAGUCGAGCGAAUGGAUUAAGAGCUUGCUCUUAUGAAGUUAGCGGCGGACGGGUGAGUAACACGUGGGUAACCUGCCCAUAAGACUGGGAUAACUCCGGGAAACCGGGGCUAAUACCGGAUAACAUUUUGAACCGCAUGGUUCGAAAUUGAAAGGCGGCUUCGGCUGUCACUUAUGGAUGGACCCGGGUCGCAUUAGCUAGUUGGUGAGGUAACGGCUCACCAAGGCAACGAUGCGUAGCCGACCUGAGAGGGUGGUCGGCCACACUGGGACUGAGACACGGCCCAGACUCCUACGGGAGGCAGCAGUAGGGAAUCUUCCGCAAUGGACGAAAGUCUGACGGAGCAACGCCGCGUGAGUGAUGAAGGCUUUCGGGUCGUAAAACUCUGUUGUUAGGGAAGAACAAGUGCUAGUUGAAUAAGCUGGCACCUUGACGGUACCUAACCAGAAAGCCACGGCUAACUACGUGCCAGCAGCCGCUGUAA
rnacentral:rRNA from 1 species